UAUAGGCAUCAAAUUGAGUAUAGAAUCAAAAGAGAAAGUCUUAACAACUUGCCUUUCUUAUUGCCAUUCGUUUCUAUAAAUAGCUAAACAGGACAACAUCCUUGAUGAACAAAGUAAUUAACAAGGAUAAUUCAAAAGAAAACAUGGCUGGUUAUAGAUUUGGUGUCCUCGCUCUUCUGCUUUUCUCCGGAAUGAUUAUGUUGGGAAUUAGCAAGGAGGGGUAUGUAGAUGCCAAGAGUUGUACACGUAACUGUGACCCUGAAGUGGCCUAUGUGACUUGUCCAUCAUCUGGAGAUGAGAAAAUUAGUCCAGUAUGUGUUAAUUGUUGCUCAGCCAAAGUGGAUUGCAAAUUGUUUCGAAAGGAUGAUUCCCUAAAGUGCAUUGGAGUACCAUAAUUGAUUGAUCCUCAUAACAAAAAGUCAACUGUUUAACGCUCAAUAAAGUGUACUAGUACGCUAUUAUUACUUGCAAUAAAUGCCUGAGUUUAUUUUGGCUCAGAUGAUUUAUAAUGUAACUGGAAUUAUCGUUCUUAUAAGAUAUCUAAUAGUUCAAUAGGUUAUGUUUGAUCA